CUGCGAAUGGCUCAUUAAAUCAGUUAUCGUUUAUUUGAUAGUACCUUACUACUUGGAUAACCGUGGUAAUUCUAGAGCUAAUACAUGCUUAAAACCCCAACUUCGGAAGGGGUGUAUUUAUUAGAUAAAAAACCAACGCCCUUCGGGGCUUCUUGGUGAUUCAUGAUAACUUUACGGAUCGCAUAGCCUUGCGCUGGCGACGGUUCAUUCAAAUUUCUGCCCUAUCAACUUUCGAUGGUAAGGUAUUGGCUUACCAUGGUUUCAACGGGUAACGGGGAAUUAGGGUUCGAUUCCGGAGAGGGAGCCUGAGAAACGGCUACCACAUCCAAGGAAGGCAGCAGGCGCGCAAAUUACCCAAUCCCGACACGGGGAGGUAGUGACAAUAAAUACUGAUACAGGGCUCUUUUGGGUCUUGUAAUUGGAAUGAGUACAAUUUAAACCUCUUAACGAGGAACAAUUGGAGGGCAAGUCUGGUGCCAGCAGCCGCGGUAAUUCCAGCUCCAAUAGCGUAUAUUAAAGUUGUUGCAGUUAAAAAGCUCGUAGUUGAAACUUGGGUCUGGCUGGCAGGUCCGCCUCACCGCGUGUACUUGUCCGGCCGGACCUUCCUUCUGGAGAACCUCAUGCCCUUCACUGGGCGUGUUGGGGACCAGGACUUUUACUUUGAAAAAAUUAGAGUGUUCAAAGCAGGCCUUUGCUCGAAUACGUUAGCAUGGAAUAAUAGAAUAGGACGUGCGGUUCUAUUUUGUUGGUUUCUAGGACCGCCGUAAUGAUUAAUAGGGACAGUCGGGGGCAUCAGUAUUCAAUUGUCAGAGGUGAAAUUCUUGGAUUUAUUGAAGACUAACUACUGCGAAAGCAUUUGCCAAGGAUGUUUUCAUUAAUCAGUGAACGAAAGUUAGGGGAUCGAAGACGAUCAGAUACCGUCGUAGUCUUAACCGUAAACUAUGCCGACUAGGGAUCGGGCGAUGUUCUUUUUUUUGACUCGCUCGGCACCUUACGAGAAAUCAAAGUUUUUGGGUUCUGG
rnacentral:rRNA from 1 species